CCCAUAUUUGUUCGCCAAGUCGAAACCGGAUAAUAAAAUUUAUUUGAAUCAGAAUCUGAUUACAGAAAUGGCGGCGACCGGAAGUGCCCGUGGCAGCCACAAAAGGAGGGGUUGAAGGAGAUCUGUGGACUGCUGGAACAGAAAAUUUCACCAUCUUCUUCGGCUGAUAAGUCUCAGAUUUGGCAACAACUUCAGCACUACUCUCAGUUCCCUGAUUUCAACAACUAUCUCGUUUUUAUCCUAGCACGAGCUGAGGGUAAAUCAGAAGAGAUUCGACAAGUUGCUGGUUUGCUUCUGAAAAAUCAUCUAAGAACUGCUUAUAAGAUAAUGGCUCCUGCAUACCAACAAUAUAUAAAAUCAGAGUUAUUGCCCUGUUUAGGAGCUGCAAAUAAACACAUGGAAGGUUAUUCAACUAGGGGGGAUUGUGGUUGUUCAACUAGGGGGGAUUGUGGGAUGGCCUGAGUUAUUGCAAGCUUUUGUAAAUUGUUUGGAUAGCAAUGACAUAAAGCACAUGGAAGGUGCUAUGGAUGCAUUGUCAAAGGUAUGCGAUGAAUUUGUGAGGAUAUACCUCAAGUGCUGGAUUCAGAUGUGCCUGGGUUAGCUGAAAGGCCUAUCAACAUAUUCCUUACUCGGUUAUUUCAGUUUUUUCAAUCUCCCCAUGCUUCUCCGAGAAAGCUGUCAUUGGGUUCUGUAAACCAAUAUAUCAUGUUGAUGACUUCUGCUUUAUAUACAUCCAUGGAUAAAUACCUUAAUGGUUUGUUUGGCCUUGCUAAUGACCCUGCAGCAGAAGUGCAGAAAUUGGUGAAUAGUUUCUCCUUUCUCUUGUAUUCUUAUUGUAUUUAUAACCUAAUAUUUUGCAUGGAAUACUCUACUGUGAAUAUUUCCUAAUUUUCCUUAUAAUUUAUUAUUGAAGCCUAUAAAAGCUUGACAUGUACUACUUAUCAUUUCUGAUUUGAACAUUUAUUUUGAAUGCAGUGUUAGAAUCCAACAUAUUUU